UGCAGUCGAGCGGUAAGGCCCUUCGGGGUACACGAGCGGCGAACGGGUGAGUAACACGUGAGCAACCUGCCCCUGACUCCGGGAUAAGCGGUGGAAACGCCGUCUAAUACCGGAUACGACCUCCCACCUCAUGGUGGAGGGUGGAAAGUUUUUCGGUCAGGGAUGGGCUCGCGGCCUAUCAGCUUGUUGGUGGGGUAACGGCCUACCAAGGCGAUUACGGGUAGCCGGCCUGAGAGGGCGACCGGCCACACUGGGACUGAGACACGGCCCAGACUCCUGCGGGAGGCAGCAGUGGGGAAUAUUGCGCAAUGGGCGAAAGCCUGACGCAGCGACGCCGCGUGGGGGAUGACGGCCUUCGGGUUGUAAACCUCUUUUACCACCAACGCAGGCUCGAAGUUUUCUUCGGGUUGACGGUAGGUGGGGAAUAAGGACCGGCUAACUACGUGCCAGCAGCCGCGGUAAUACGUAGGGUCCGAGCGUUGUCCGGAAUUAUUGGGCGUAAAGAGCUCGUAGGCGGCGUGUCGCGUCUGCUGUGAAAGACCGGGGCUUAACUCCGGUUCUGCAGUGGAUACGGGCAUGCUAGAGGUAGGUAGGGGAGACUGGAAUUCCUGGUGUAGCGGUGAAAUGCGCAGAUAUCAGGAGGAACACCGGUGGCGAAGGCGGGUCUCUGGGCCUUACCUGACGCUGAGGAGCGAAAGCAUGGGGAGCGAACAGGAUUAGAUACCCUGGUAGUCCAUGCCGUAAACGUUGGGCGCUA
rnacentral:rRNA from 1 species